CAGCUAGUUGGUAAGGUAAAGGCUUACCAAGGCUACGAUGUUUAGGGGAUCUGAGAGGAUGACCCCCCACACUGGUACUGAGACACGGACCAGACUCCUACGGGAGGCAGCAGUAAGGAAUAUUGGUCAAUGGGCGAAAGCCUGAACCAGCCAUGCCGCGUGCAGGAAGACUGCCCUACGGGUUGUAAACUGCUUUUGUACCGGAAUAAACCUUGAUAUGUAUAUCAAGCUGAAUGUACGGUAAGAAUAAGGAUCGGCUAACUCCGUGCCAGCAGCCGCGGUAAUACGGAGGAUCCAAGCGUUAUCCGGAUUUAUUGGGUUUAAAGGGUGCGUAGGUGGCUUUUUAAGUCAGGGGUGAAAGACGGUAGCUUAACUAUCGCAGUGCCUUUGAUACUGAAGAGCUUGAAUGAACUAGAGGUAGGCGGAAUGUGACAAGUAGCGGUGAAAUGCAUAGAUAUGUCACAGAACACCAAUUGCGAAGGCAGCUUACUAUGGUUUAAUUGACACUGAGGCACGAAAGCGUGGGGAUCAAACAGGAUUAGAUACCCUGGUAG
rnacentral:rRNA from 1 species